rnacentral:rRNA from 1 species
GUGAACGCUGGCGGUAGGCCUAACACAUGCAAGUCGAACGGCAGCACAGUAAGAGCUUGCUCUUACGGGUGGCGAGUGGCGGACGGGUGAGGAAUACAUCGGAAUCUACUUUUUCGUGGGGGAUAACGUAGGGAAACUUACGCUAAUACCGCAUACGACCUACGGGUGAAAGCAGGGGAUCUUCGGACCUUGCGCGAUUGAAUGAGCCGAUGUCGGAUUAGCUAGUUGGCGGGGUAAAGGCCCACCAAGGCGACGAUCCGUAGCUGGUCUGAGAGGAUGAUCAGCCACACUGGAACUGAGACACGGUCCAGACUCCUACGGGAGGCAGCAGUGGGGAAUAUUGGACAAUGGGCGCAAGCCUGAUCCAGCCAUACCGCGUGGGUGAAGAAGGCCUUCGAGUUGUAAAGCCCUUUUGUUGGGAAAGAAAAGCAGCAGGUUAAUACCCCGCUGUUCUGACGGUACCCAAAGAAUAAGCACCGGCUAACUUCGUG